UCCCGCUGCAGCCGCUCGCCUCGCCCUCGCAGCCGGCCACGCCCGCCACGCCCGCCUCCAUCCCCGACAUCAUACUCACAGGUCAGUCACCCGCAUGUCGCCGGCGCCAGUGCUUCACACAGACAAGACAGCGUCGCUGCGCCCUCCACCGCUCCACUGGCCCGAUACAAUGUAUUGCUGCCAUGCUUAUAAAGUCAAUAGUGUACCGUAGUGUGAUUUAAAGUUGAG